UUAAUCCACGCUUGGGCGAGUCGGGGAGAGGUGGAGUGGAACAGAGUUUACCGCCAAAGAGAGUAACCCUACCAAGAUCUUUGUUCCCGCCUCCUGGAAAUCUGCCUGCAGUUGGAGUGUGUCAAUUGGAGUGAGAAGGUGUCUUGUGGGCAUCAAUCCCGAAAGGGGGACGAAGGCCAGUGGGAAGAGGAGCAGAAACUCCCCCUCUAAGGUUUCAUCCUUGCUGAGGAAGGUGAUGGAUUACUGCUACGCCCUGGUGUGAAAAUGGCUGAAUUGACCCAUCAACUAUCCAACAGGCUGAAUUGUCCUGACCAAUAGAAGAAAAAAUUGUUAAUUUCAGAGUGUAAUUGUUAAUUUCAGAGUGUAAGUGUAAAAUUUUAAGUUGAAAAUACACUGCAAAAGUUGAUUUUACUGUAGGAGUGUAAACAAAUAACAAAUAUGUAAGGGAAGAGUGUUGGUCUGAUGUAAUAUUUAUUUUGGUUUCCACUGCUUUAUAGUUUCUGUAAUCACAAUUAGGCUUUCAAUAAUUCGUUUUGUAUGUAAGGAAUCAAUAUAACAUGAGGUUUUUUAUUAUUAUUAUUAUUAUUAUUGAAUCGAUGAAAUAUGAAAAUUAUAAUU